GGAGAAGCUUGAAGAACCCAGGUAUGCUUCUUCCUGAAUUUCGUUUUUGUUCUCUUUUUAAUGAUAACUCAGUGACAUCUCUCUCUUUUCUAUUUCGAUUUUGCUUGCGGCGAACAACAAUAACAACAUAGAGAAUCUCUUCCUUGCCGUGGACAACAAUCGGUUUCUCUUUUGCUCAAUCACUCACCGGUUUCUUUCUCUGAACUCUCCGCCUCUCUCAAUCUGAAUAACACAACAGCGACUUUCGAAGUCCUCCGGCGAUCAUGAAAACUCAUAUUGACGAGAACAGCUUAAGCUAUACACCGAUUUCUUUCACAAACAGAGCUGCAACAAACUAUAAUAUUUAGAGAAAGUGUGAAGACUUACCUACGGCGAGGAGAUUUUCACCGGAUUUUAUGUUGAGCGUCGGUGUUUUGAAUCAUAGGAUAUUGACGGUUCAUCUACGGAGGCUCGAAGAUUGUUGACUUUUUGAGAGUUUGUUGUGAUGAGGGUGAACAAACCGCUCUUUGAUGAAGGUGAUGCCACAACACCUCUUUUGAUAUUAGGGAGACUUGAAGAUGGACUUCAAGUUGGAACUCUCCACUAAGGUAUGAACUACUUCUCACUCCUUUUCUAACUAUGGAACUUUGUAGCUAGGAAUUCUCACUUUUCAAGUGGUUUACCAAGAAACUUGAAAACUUAUGAGAGAAGAGGGAGAAAUGAGAAAGCUAGUAGUAUAGUAGCUUUGGUGUGAUUAACUUCAAAGAAAACACUUCUAUUUAUAGGAAAAAUUUAGGGAUAUGUUAGGAAUUGAGAAGCUUUGUUGGAAGGUUAUGGUCAUUGCAAGAAUGAGAAUAAGAAUAAGAAUAUUCUUCAUGACAUAUUCAAAGAUAUUUUUCAUGACAUAAGCCAUAAAAAAAUCUUUCUUUGAUCCUUUUUUGUCUUGAAUUAACCUUUUGCUAAUCUCACCCCUUUUUGUUUUCUUUUUCAUGUCACAUGAGAACUCUUGAGGAAAGCAUGAAGAAAAUUGAAUUUGAAGGAUGAAGACUUUGAAGAUUGAAGAAUUCAAGAAAGUCUUGCAUUUUCUUUUAUUCUUUGUAAUCCAAAUUUAUUCCACUUUAGAAUUGUAUGAACUUGUAUUCUUGAAAGCGAAUAGAAUUUGAAAGUUGUAAUAUCUUUGAACCUUGAAUUAGACUUGAAAUGUUGUAAUCUUGAAUUUUGGACAAAGUCUCUAUUGUAACUCAUUUGAAAUUUGGAAUUUGUUCAUGUAAAGAAACUCCACUUGAAUAUCCUUUAGAA